GAUGAACGCUAGCGGGAGGCCUAACACAUGCAAGCCGAGCGGUAUUUGUCUUUCGGGACAGAGAGAGCGGCGUACGGGUGCGGAACACGUGUGCAACCUGCCCUUAUCAGGGGGAUAGCCUUUCGAAAGGAAGAUUAAUACCCCAUAAUAUAUUAGAUGGUAUCAUUUGAUAUUGAAAACUCCGGUGGAUAGAGAUGGGCACGCGCAAGAUUAGAUAGUUGGUAGGGUAACGGCCUACCAAGUCAGUGAUCUUUAGGGGGCCUGAGAGGGUGAUCCCCCACACUGGUACGGAGACACGGACCAGACUCCUACGGGAGGCAGCAGUGAGGAAUAUUGGACAAUGGGUUAGCGCCUGAUCCAGCCAUCCCGCGUGAAGGACGACUGCCCUAUGGGUUGUAAACUUCUUUUGUACAGGGAUAAACCUUUCCACGUGUGGAAAGCUGAAGGUACUGUACGAAUAAGCACCGGCUAACUCCGUGCCAGCAGCCGCCGUAA
rnacentral:rRNA from 1 species